GAUGAACGCUGGCGGCGUGCCUAAUACAUGCAAGUCGAGCGAACAGAUGAGGAGCUUGCUCCUCUGACGUUAGCGGCGGACGGGUGAGUAACACGUGGAUAACCUACCUAUAAGACUGGGAUAACUUCGGGAAACCGGAGCUAAUACCGGAUAAUAUAUUGAACCUCAUGGUUCAAUAGUGAAAGACGGUUUUGCUGUCACUUAUAGAUGGAUCCGCGCCGCAUUAGCUAGUUGGUAAGGUAACGGCUUACCAAGGCAACGAUGCGUAGCCGACCUGAGAGGGUGAUCGGCCACACUGGAACUGAGACACGGUCCAGACUCCUACGGGAGGCAGCAGUAGGGAAUCUUCCGCAAUGGGCGAAAGCCUGACGGAGCAACGCCGCGUGAGUGAUGAAGGUCUUCGGAUCGUAAAACUCUGUUAUUAGGGAAGAACAAAUGUGUAAGUAACUAUGCACGUCUUGACGGUACCUAAUCAGAAAGCCACGGCUAACUACGUG
rnacentral:rRNA from 1 species